rnacentral:rRNA from 1 species
UGGGGAAUAUUGCACAAUGGGCGCAAGCCUGAUGCAGCCAUGCCGCGUGUAUGAAGAAGGCCUUCGGGUUGUAAAGUACUUUCAGCGGGGAGGAAGGGAGUAAAGUUAAUACCUUUGCUCAUUGACGUUACCCGCAGAAGAAGCACCGGCUAACUCCGUGCCAGCAGCCGCGGUAAUACGGAGGGUGCAAGCGUUAAUCGGAAUUACUGGGCGUAAAGCGCACGCAGGCGGUUUGUUAAGUCAGAUGUGACAUCCCCGGGCUCAACCUGGGAACUGCAUCUGAUACUGGCAAGCUUGAGUCUCGUAUAGGGGGGUAGAAUUCCAGGUGGAGCGGUGAAAUGCGUAGAGAUCUGGGGUAAUACCGGUGGCGAAGGCGGCCCCCUGGACGAAGACUGACGCUCAGGUGCGAAAGCGUGGGGAGCAAACAGG